rnacentral:rRNA from 1 species
CCUACGGGAGGCAGCAGUGGGGAAUUUUGGACAAUGGGCGAAAGCCUGAUCCAGCAAUGCCGCGUGAGUGAAGAAGGCCUUCGGGUUGUAAAGCUCUUUUGUCAGGGAAGAAACGGUGAGGGCUAAUAUCCCUUGCUAAUGACGGUACCUGAAGAAUAAGCACCGGCUAACUACGUGCCAGCAGCCGCGGUAAUACGUAGGGUGCAAGCGUUAAUCGGAAUUACUGGGCGUAAAGCGUGCGCAGGCGGUUUUGUAAGUCUGUCGUGAAAUCCCCGGGCUCAACCUGGGAAUUGCGAUGGAGACUGCAAGGCUAGAAUCUGGCAGAGGGGGGUAGAAUUCCACGUGUAGCAGUGAAAUGCGUAGAGAUGUGGAGGAACACCGAUGGCGAAGGCAGCCCCCUGGGUCAAGAUUGACGCUCAUGCACGAAAGCGUGGGGAGCAAACAGGAUUAGAUACCCUGGUAGUCCACGCCCUAAACGAUGUCUACUAGUUGUCGGGUUUUAAUAACUUGGUAACGCAGCUAACGCGUGAAGUAGACCGCCUGGGGAUACGGUCGCAAGNUUAAAACNCAAAGGAAUUGACGG